AGCGAACGCUGGCGGCAGGCCUAACACAUGCAAGUCGAACGGACCUUUCGGGGUUAGUGGCGGACGGGUGAGUAACUCGUGGGAACGUGCCUUUAGGUUCGGAAUAGCUCCUGGAAACGGGUGGUAAUGCCGAAUGUGCCCUUAGGGGGAAAGAUUUAUCGCCUUUAGAGCGGCCCGCGUCUGAUUAGCUAGUUGGUGAGGUAAUGGCUCACCAAGGCUACGAUCAGUAGCUGGUCUGAGAGGAUGACCAGCCACAUUGGGACUGAGACACGGCCCAAACUCCUACGGGAGGCAGCAGUGGGGAAUCUUGCGCGAUGGGCGAAAGCCUGACGCAGCCAUGCCGCGUGGAUGAUGAAGGUCUUAGGAUUGUAAAAUCCUUUCACCGGUGAAGAUAAUGACUGUAGCCGGAGAAGAAGCCCCGGCUAACUUCGUGCCAGCAGCCGCCGUAA
rnacentral:rRNA from 1 species